CCGGGGGUUCUGGAGCUCUGCUGUCCUUGGGGGUGGCAGUGUCUGAUGGGGACCUGGGGACGUCCUGCUAUGGGAUCGGACAGGGUGACAAUGGGGGGCUGGGAGCCCUCCUGUGCUGAGUCUGAAUGGGAACCCGGGGGUCUACAGCUGUCCUGUCCAUGGGGUCUGAUGAGGAACAGGAGGGUCUGCAGUUGUCCUCUCUGUGGGGUCUGAUGAGGAACAGGGGGGUCUGCAGUUUUUCUCUCCAUGGGGUCUGAUGGGGAACAGCGGGGUCUGCAGCUCUCCUGUCCAUCGGGUCUGAUGGGGAACAGGGGGGUCUGCAGUUGUCCUGUCUAUAGGGUCUGAUGGGAACAGGGGUCUGCGGUUGUCCUCUCUGUGGGGUCUGAUGUGGAACAGGACUGGCUGCCAGCUUGGGAAGAGCCUGAAGCCCCCCCAGCCCAGAGGGGCCUGACUCUGGCUCCCUGCCCAUGGAGCCUGAAUCCCCCUUGCCCAGGGAAUGUGGCCAGGACCCUCUUGCCAUUGCCCUCAGGCCCUUGCUCCCCAUGAGCGUCCAUUCGGCCCUGGCCCCAUUAAACCUCCUCUGAAGGGCCUGUCCCUGGCUGCUUUCCUGUCAUGGCCGAGCCGUGACAGCCUGUCCGUGGCUGGCUCUGGCCUCCGGAGAGGGAGGUGUUUUUCUCCCGAGGAGAGCUGUUUAUGCCCAGUGAUUUUUUUUUUCUAUUUUUUUUUUUUUUAUUUCUUUCCCCUCCCUCCGUGCUCUCCUGCGUAAGCCACAGCAGCAGCUCGGUGUCUGCCCAGCCCGGCAGUGUUACGGCACGGCUCCUUAUGUAGGUGAAGCCGGGGAACGCUGCAAGGAUCGUGUGGAGCUCUCAGUCCCCUGAGCCCGGAGCUUUGAGCCUAUUUAUAGGAUGAAAUACUACACAAAUUACUGAGGCAGAGAGAAGGCAUCUUCCUUCACCCAUAACAUACUGAGGCACGAAGAAGGAUGCUGAAAGCCAAGGUUUCUGGUUUGACCCUCCUCAUCAGAGCUCCUGAACGUGAAGAUUCCUGACUCACAGAAGCUGUCUGCUCGUGGCAGGCAAAAUUAUCAUUUCUUGCACUCACAGCUGAGGGUUUUGAUGGGGCUGGUGACCAGCUCUAGCACAGCACAGCUCCUUCUCCUUUUCCUUCUCCUUUUCCUUCUUCAUCACCAGCUUGGAACCAGGAAUGGGUGAGACUUCUGCUGCUUCCCUCCUAACGAGGUACGAAUUCCAGAUCAAAUGUUAAGAGCUGCUUGUUUCUACGUGAAGAAAUCAGAUUCAACCCCUGGAUCUGUUCCAAGCAGGGAUAUCAUUACGUUUGACUCUUGUGUUUGAAACUGUUAAAGCCUGCUGAUCUGACACAGCUAGGGAUGGAACUAAAAUAUAUCAGCGUUUCAGGGAUGGGAGGCAGAAGGAACUGAUGGGUAAUUUAGUCUGACAUUUAGGGUGUUGCAGGUCAUUACAUGUAACUGUUACUCCCUGUUUUGAGCUCAGUAGCUUAUGUUUGACUGAAAAAUUGAAAAAUUAACAGGCAUCUGCUGAAAAUGCUUUUCAGAAGGGCAGGCUGGCUUAUUUGGGAGUUACUUAGACAUGAGGAUUUCAAUAUCUCUCAUAGUAAUUUGUUCUAUGGGACAAACAGUCUGUGCUUGCUUAAUUUUUUUUUUUUUGUUUUGCUGCAUUUCUAACUUGGAUAUGCCUAAUUCUAUGUAGUUUCAUGGAAUUUUAAGCUGGCAUAAACCAGCAGAAUUGCUGAAAGAAGCAGUCAGCAUCCCCCAGUUCCUGCCUGGAUGUCCCAGGUCCUGGCGUGGUGCUCCUAUAGCCAUGGGUGAACCCACUGCAGAACCAGCCACAAAAAGCAGCAAAAUCAGAUUUCUCCAGGUCUGAGGAGGGUGAGGUUUUCUGAGAUAGAGGAGGAAAGAGCUGAAACUGCAAAGAGAAGGAUCUGAGGUAAAGUCAACCCCAGCAACAGAGGAUUGUGCAGUUGGGGCAAGGGAAUGUCUCUAUCACCACAAAACACUGUGGAGUUAUGAACUAGAAAUUCAGAAUAUCCCCAUCUCCUGGAGCAUCACAUACUGAUCUUGUUCUCUAUAGAUGGAAAAAGAUUUUUUCCAGAUACUGCUGCAAGUGUUCACUGAUCAGUUUUUUUAGUACUGUCAAAAUAAUUUUUAUUGUUUUCGUUUCAGUUUGCCAGUAACUCUCACUGUAGUGAAAGUUGUUACAUAAAGCUGGCCUGUAUUUUUUUGCCAAAAGCCUCCAGUAUUUUUUAAGCAGAGGUGCUGAUUGGUUGAAGCACAGAGUCACUGUUCAGCACCCUGAUUCCAUGUCUCUCCUGGUAGCACAGAGCAAAACUUCCUUGUAUUUAAGACUGAAAAAUAUUCAGGUUUCUUUUGAGGUGGAUUUGGUUUUGCUUAAUUUGUGAAUUAUUUCAGCAAGAGUUCGCCUUCCCAAGUUUUAGCUGUACAGAUCUCAUUUUAACCAAGGGAACUGCUGAACUCAGCUGUACAGGCUUGUUUUGCACAGGAAUCUUCAUCCCCCUCCCAUUUUUGUUUAGGAGCUCCUGACAGCCCAGGUCAUCAGAGCUGUUGCCACCACUUAUGUAGAAACCCUUUCCCUUGGGAUCUGAUCAAGUGUUUAUUCAACUCAAAAACAUCUUUUAAAGGGACCAUCUGAAUUUGGGCUGCCUUAAUUGAAGCUUCUCAAAGUUGCCUGGCCACACUUGCCCCAAGGAUGUUCUCCUGCUGUACCUUGGCAGUGUUGGCUUCGUGGUUGGACUUGCAGGUCUUUUUCCAACCUAAAUAAUUCUGUGAUUCCCUUAUUCAGGUGUUCUUGCUGCUACUGGCUGAGCCUCCAAACUUUGAUACCUUUCCUGCCUGUUGUACUUCCCUCUGUACCUCAUUUCUGGUUGGCAUCUGCUCCUGAGUAGUCCUGUCCCAGGCAGUGCCUUGUGUCCUGAUUAUUCUUUUAACCUAUAUUUUAUAAAAUCUUCUGGUUGAAUCUGUGGAAAAGCUUGCUUGGCUGAAUUUUUUCUGGCAACCUGCAUUAUUUAUAGGGGAAAUUACCAUAUUUUUCAUUUAAAAAUCUUACUUUAGGUUUUUAUUGAAGAGCGCAAAGGUGCCUUUUUUGGGUUUUUUUUGGUUUGGUUUGGUUUGAUUUCUUUUGUUCUGGUUUUUUUUUUGUGAGGGUUUGUGGUUUUUUUUGGUUUUUUGUUUCUUAUUUUUUAAUAUUUGUUUCAGUAUUCAUUGUGCAGAUGUGUAUUACCCUAGUAAAGCUGUAAAGUAGCCAAGCUGUGCUGAUCUUCACUGGAGGUGGAGUACUUUAAAGAAGGCUUUGUGGUCUGCUUUAGUUGUUUAUACUUCAAAAUAAUUUAAGAGAAAGGUGCCUUUUUAUUUACCAAGCAUUUGCAAGUAAACCUUAAAAACCCAUCACAGCAAAUAGUAAAUAAUUUUCUUUACAACACAGGGCCUCUUUUUUCUGAAGAGAUGGGAUUCUUGCCAGCCUUCAAAGUUUUCAGAAGAUUGCUCCUAUUUUCUCCUUAUUAUGUGUCAAAUUGUAAAACACAAAAAAUUGUUGACAAGCUUUCAAAUAAAAAAGAUACCCAAGAUUGACAUAUUUUGCUAAAAUACCAUUUAACUUCUUUUCAGGUAGAAAAUAAUGGCUAUUAGAAGAGAAGAUCAGUAAACCAUGCUGAAAUAGAAGUUGU